rnacentral:ncRNA from 1 species
ACCGGUAGAGGUCGCGUCUUUCAUCAGUAACCCGGGCCAGACCGCCAAGGUCGCCUACCCCGUGUGAAAGGGAUCGACGCCGAAGAGGAUCGCUUGGCAGGCGGCUCCUCUGGGCGCACAGCCGAAUAGGCUUGCGACUGUCAUCAUACAUUGUGAUGGAGCGCUAUG